rnacentral:rRNA from 1 species
AUUGAACGCUGGCGGCAUGCCUUACACAUGCAAGUCGAACGGUAACAGGUCUUCGGAUGCUGACGAGUGGCGAACGGGUGAGUAAUGCAUCGGAACGUGCCCAGUAGUGGGGGAUAGCCCGGCGAAAGCCGGAUUAAUACCGCAUACGACCUGAGGGUGAAAGGGGGGGAUCGCAAGACCUCUCGCUAUUGGAGCGGCCGAUGUCAGAUUAGCUAGUUGGUGGGGUAAAGGCCUACCAAGGCAACGAUUUGUAGUUGGUCUGAGAGGACGACCAGCCACACGGGGACUGAGACACGGCCCAGACUCCUACGGGAGGCAGCAGUGGGGAAUUUUGGACAAUGGGCGCAAGCCUGAUCCAGCAAUGCCGCGUGCAGGAAGAAGGCCUUCGGGUUGUAAACUGCUUUUGUCAGGGAAGAAAUCUUCUGGGUUAAUACCUCGGGAGGAUGACGGUACCUGAAGAAUAAGCACCGGCUAACUACGUGCCAGCCGCCGCAGUAAUAC